CAUUGACGUGAUGAUAUAGUACUCGGAAUUCCAUCAUGUCGAUUAAAAAACUCAGACUACAAUUAUCUGAUCAAUG